CUAAUACCGGAUAAGAAAGACGGAUCGCAUGAUCAGCUUUUAAAAGGACGGCGUAAGCUGUCGCUAUGGGAUGGCCCCGCGGUGCAUUAGCUAGUUGGUAAGGUAAAGGCUUACCAAGGCGAUGAUGCAUAGCCGAGUUGAGAGACUGAUCGGCCACAUUGGGACUGAGACACGGCCCAAACUCCUACGGGAGGCAGCAGCG
rnacentral:rRNA from 1 species